CGGGGACCCCGAGCUUCGCUCGACUCGACUCUAACUCCCACUCUAGACUAACUACUACUCUACUUGUAUGCUUGGAACUUGUAAUGCACUUGGCCUUGGAAUUGCACACUUGAAAUGAAGGGUGGAGGCUGCCUUUUAUAGAGGGAGAUGGAGUAGGGGUUACUCCAUCGCCACGUCAUCGAUCCGCGUGACAUCUUCUCUCCACCCUUGGAUCAAACCGACCUCACAACCGCCAUU
rnacentral:lncRNA from 1 species